rnacentral:rRNA from 1 species
UAGUCCACGCAGUAAACGAUGGAAACUCGCUGUGUCUGGUAUUGACCCCGGACGUGGCCAAGCUAACGCGAUAAGUUUCCCGCCUGGGGAGUACGGUCGCAAGAUUAAAACUCAAAGGAAUUGACGGGGACCCGCACAAGCGGUGGAUUAUGUGGUUUAAUUCGAAGCAACGCGCAAAACCUUACCUGGCCUUGACAUGCCCUUGACCGCUGUAGAAAUACAGUUUUUCUUCGGAACAGGGGACACAGGUGCUGCAUGGCUGUCGUCAGCUCGUGUCGUGAGAUGUUGGGUUAAGUCCCGCAACGAGCGCAACCCUUGCCUUUAGUUGCCAGCAUUUAGUUGGGCACUCUAGAGGGACUGCCGGUGAUAAGCCGGAGGAAGGCGGGGAUGACGUCAAGUCCUCAUGGCCCUUACGGGUUGGGCUACACACGUGCUACAAUGGUGGUGACAGUGGGCAGGCUACACAGCGAUGUGAUGCUAAUCCCCAAAAACCAUCUCAGUUCGGAUUGUUCU